AUUGAACGCUGGCGGCAGGCCUAACACAUGCAAGUCGAGCGGAUGACGGGAGCUUGCUCCUUGAUUCAGCGGCGGACGGGUGAGUAAUGCCUAGGAAUCUGCCUGGUAGUGGGGGACAACGUUUCGAAAGGAACGCUAAUACCGCAUACGUCCUACGGGAGAAAGCAGGGGACCUUCGGGCCUUGCGCUAUCAGAUGAGCCUAGGUCGGAUUAGCUAGUAGGUGAGGUAAUGGCUCACCUAGGCGACGAUCCGUAACUGGUCUGAGAGGAUGAUCAGUCACACUGGAACUGAGUCACGGUCCAGACUCCUACGGGAGGCAGCAGUGGGGAAUAUUGGACAAUGGGCGAAAGCCUGAUACAGCCAUGCCGCGUGUGUGAAGAAGUUCUUCGGAUUGUAAAGCACUUUAAGUUGGGAGGAAGGGUUGUACGUUAAUACCGUGCAAUUUUGACGUUACCGACAGAAUAAGCACCGGCUAACUCUGUGCCAGCCGCCGCGGUAA
rnacentral:rRNA from 1 species